ACAGGUGCUGCAUGGCUGUCGUCAGCUCGUGUCGUGAGAUGUUGGGCUAAGUCCCGCAACGAGCGCAACCCUCGUCCUUAAUUGCCAUCAGUUCGGCUGGGCACUCUAGGGAAACUGCCGGUGAUAAGCUGGAGGAAGGUGGGGAUGACGUCAAGUCCUCAUGGCCCUUACGGGCUGGGCUACACACGUGCUACAAUGGCGGUGACAGUGGGACGCGAAGGGGCGACCUGGAGCUAAUCCCCAAAAACCGUCUCAGUUCGGAUUGUUCUCUGCAACUCGAGAGCAUGAAGUUGGAAUCGCUAGUAAUCGUGGAUCAGCAUGCCACGGUGAAUACGUUCCCGGGCCUUGUACACACCGCCCGUCACACCAUGGGAGUUGGUUUUA
rnacentral:rRNA from 1 species